GACGAACGCUGGCGGCGUGCCUAAUACAUGCAAGUUGAGCGCUGAAGGUUGGUACUUGUACCAACUGGAUGAGCAGCGAACGGGUGAGUAACGCGUGGGGAAUCUGCCUUUGAGCGGGGGACAACAUUUGGAAACGAAUGCUAAUACCGCAUAAAAACUUUAAACACAAGUUUUAAGUUUGAAAGAUGCAAUUGCAUCACUCAAAGAUGAUCCCGCGUUGUAUUAGCUAGUUGGUGAGGUAAAGGCUCACCAAGGCGAUGAUACAUAGCCGACCUGAGAGGGUGAUCGGCCACAUUGGGACUGAGACACGGCCCAAACUCCUACGGGAGGCAGCAGUAGGGAAUCUUCGGCAAUGGACGAAAGUCUGAGCGAGCAACGCCGCGGGAGUGAAGAAGGUUGUCGGAUCGUAAAACUCUGUUGGUAGAGAAGAACGUUGGUGAGAGUGGAAAGCUCAUCAAGUGACGGUAACUACCCAGAAAGGGACGGCUAACUACGUG
rnacentral:rRNA from 1 species